rnacentral:lncRNA from 1 species
AGACUCUCGAGCGCCGGCCCCAGGAUGACAAUCACAUCCCAGGAGCGCCGAUCUCUUCCAACUUUCCUCUUCUGCUAACUCGGGGCGGAGUGGCAGUCCCGCCGCCCCGAAGCACAAAGGGAACGAGGCCGCGGGCUGUGCGCCGGCGAACGCUCUGCGCUCUCCUAGCCACAGUAGAUCGCGGACUUAGCGGAUUUCUUGUUCUCCGGCAGGCUGGGCUCCGAGGCCAUUCGUUGCCCACCCCCCUCUGGCGUCUUCCCCAAGCCAGGGGGCCCGGAGAGCCAGCUGGAGAUCCGGAAUGAAAGUCUCUGGGAGAGCCGAUGGAUGGCCCGCGCCCAGGGCGCAGGAAGUCCGGGAUGACUGCCCCUCUGCGCCGGCAGCAGCAGGUGGGCGAGAGACAGGCCUCAGACGUCUGCACGUCUCCGCCUCGCCUUCCUUCUACCGACCCCCCGCCGGACGGCGAGGGAGAAGACACUGGUUCCUGGAACUACCGGGGUAGCCUUUUUCUAGAGUAGGGGUGGUGGGCAAGAACUGCCAGACAGAGAAUCAGCUACACCCGAGGAGAUCUCGGGACCGUCCCCAGCUCCACUCCCACGCCUCGCAGCCUCUUUCUCCCGGUUUUCCCACCGCACGCAGCUCGCACCGCCAAGUCGGUGGUGGUGGAGGGUGCGGGUCCCCUUCCCUUUUGUUUAACUAAGUCGCCUUCCCCUUCGCACGCACUCUCGCAUCCGCCCACGCUCCACUGCAAACACUGGGCAGAGCAGUGCCCAACCCAACCACUGUUUGUUCAGCGAGGCGCUGGCGAAGCAAACACACACAACUGAGUCAGAGGCAGAGCCCUUGCCCACGACGGCCACACAGUUAGAAUACAAAACAGACCCUCUCCUCUUCUCUCCACCUCCCGCCACCACAAGCCACGGACGCACUCGAACUCUGGGACAGACAGGGGCGCUGGUGAACCAGGACAGAAGAUGGCACAGGUGUUAAGUGUGAUGCUUCCAUAAUACAUUUGGAUGCUGUCAGCUAAGUUCACUUCUGAACUAAGGGGUUCCUCCAAAUGUUGGCUGAAAUUCAUCCCAAGGCUGGUCUGCAAAGUCUGCAAUUCAUAAUGGAGCUACUGUACUGGCUAUUGGAAGGAGGAGAUUCUGAAGAUAAGGAGUUCUCUUGUAGGAUGCCACUGGAAAUGUUGAAAUGAAAAAUGUAAGUAUAUCUUUUGGUGGAAAAAAGGAUAGUCUCUAGGACACAAAAUUACUGUUUUAUUUUUUUCUCAGGAGUUUGCCUAAGGGUGUGACAGAUGAUCUCUGUCACUUGUCUUAGUUGUGUCCUGCAAUAAACUGGAUGCUUUAUAAAAUACUAGACCUGUGAUUUCGUAUGCUGUAAUAUUUCAUUUCUCCAUCACCCCUCCAAAUUAUUUCUUAGUUUGGAGUAAAAUAAUAAAUGUAUUAUAGUCAACAUCUCUUGACCCCUCUUUAGUUUCAGCUAAACUAAGCAUGUGUGUUUGUGUGUUCAUUUUAUAGUUCAUGUGUAGAACUAUGUGAAUUAAAUUUAAGAAACAUGUAAAGUAGAGGAAAUAGUUUUCUGGAGAAAUUUUUCCUUUUUGGAUAUUAUGCCCUUUUCCAUUGCUUUUCUCUGCUUGAAAGCAAAAAAAAGUACCCUACCCCUGUUCUCCUUUAGGGAAAAACUAUUCCUAUAAAGUAUUUUUAAAUCGUGCAAGUCAUUGCCUAGGGUUAGCUAAAACAUUUCUUUUUAAAAAGGAGAAAAUGCCCUGGCUUUAACAUUUUCUUGUAUUUGUAUCUAUUAAGAUAAACAGUUUACUUUGAUACAGUACAUACCAAUCUACUUAAUUUUUUUUCCAGGAUUCCUUUUACUAUGUUUGGUCUGACCUUUUAUGAUAACUUAAUAUGGGAACAAAUUAGCAUAUAAUUCUAUUUUCCAUGUGACCUCAACCAGUUGCAGAAUUGUACCACUACUUUAGGGGGGGCAAUUUGACAGUUUAUGUAGACUAUAGCAUUAAUUGUUCCCAAAUGUUCAGUGCAUCCUGGCUAAUGUGUUAUUGAAGGUGUUUUCACGUAAGCAGUUAGAGGAAGCACUUCACCCCUAUUACUAAGUUAUUAAAAUGCCUCCUAAAGGUAGCAUUUUAAAUUAGUAUACAUAAUUGAUUAGUAAUUUGUCUUCUCCCAAGCAUAAAACAGCAUAGCAGAGUUAAGUGUGACCAGUGAAGUAUAAGAUAUUAGGGAUUGAUGGUGACAAUGAUCAUAGCAACUAAAUGGAUUUUUUUUUUCUUUUAGAUUCAGCCGUUGGUCUUUGAAAUUUCCUGUGAUGUGUUUCAAUCUAGAUGCAAAGAACAUGGAAAAAUCAAAGUGCUCGAGUGGUUUAAAUAUGUUUUGGGUAUUCCUGUUUAUAGACUAUAAUACUUUUCCAAUUAAAAUCCUCAGUUGUCACGCAGAAGAAGGUUAAGCUGUAUUUGAUUGCCAGUUUUACUGAAAAUGCUUAGUAUUUUACAGUAUCACCAAAUAUAUUUUGUUUAGCCAAGGUAUAGGAAAAAUAAAAUAAAUUGUAUAGGUUGACUUUUUUCUAAAAUGUCUUUAUUGGAUUGAAUGAAUGUUUAUACCUGAAAAAAAAAGGUUCAAAAAAAUUCCUUUUUCUAUCAGAGUCAUUCUUUUGACAAUCAGAUAUUAGACUAGGUUUAAAAUAACUUUCUAAUAUGACUCAUAUUUAUGGGAGGAAAAAGACUUGAAAGAUAUUCCUAUGUGUACUUUAAUUUUCUGUAAUAGUCCCUCUGGAAUAGAAUAUCUCUUCCUCAAACAAAUCUAUUGGCUCAUUUCAUAUACAAGAAAAAGUUGCCCUAAAUGGCAGAGUUUCAUCUCUGUAAAGAAGGCUGACAUCCACUUCCUUCACAGAAUCCCUGCAUUUGGGUAAUUGAGUAAUGAUAGAUUACCUUGCCAUUGGGAAAUACCUUGUUGUGGCCUUUGUAGCAGCUAUAGGAAGAUGGAAGAAUUCUUUUGUAUAGACAGGUCUCUAGCCUCUUUGGUGUGGACACUGUGAAGGGGUACAUCUGGUGAGAAGGAGUGCUUAGGGAAGGAACUGGGAAGGUCCACAAAGGCUGAUGAUGACAAAGAAUCCAAGGGCUAUGAUGAAUUCUUAAGCUUAGAUCUCAGAGUCAUAAAGUAAAUUUAUUAGGCUAGAGAGAUUUCCUUUUUUAUUUUUGAUCAAACUUUAUUUUUUCAGAUUGUUAAGUUCACAUGCAGUUGUACAAAAUAAUACAGAGAUCUUUGAACACUACCCAGUUUCUCCUAAUAGUAACUUCUUGCAAUAUACUGUAUAGCACAGCAUCACAACCUGGAUACUGACAUUGAUGCAGUCAAGACAGAGAACAUUUAUAUCAUGAGGAGGAUCCCUCAUUACCGCCCUUUGAUAUCCACCCCUACUUCCAGACCAUCUCACUCCUCCCUUAACCCUGGCAACCACUAGCAUGUUCUCCAUUUCUAUAAAUUUGCCUUUAUAGGAAUGUUAUAUAAUUGCAAUUAAAGUGUGUAACCUUUUGGGGUUUGACUCACCCGGCAUCAUUUUCUGGAGAUUCAGCUUAUAUGUGUCAAUAGUUUGUUCCCUUUUUUUUAGUUCAGUAGUAUUCUGUGGUACGUGUGUACCACAUCACUCAUCAAUUCGGACUUCUGGGUUGUAUCUGGUAUUUGAUUAUUACAAAUAGAAGUACUAUAUAUAUAUUCGUGUAGAGGUUUCUGUGUGAACAUAAACUUUCAUUUUCCUGGGACAGAUGCCCACGAGUGAAAAUUGUGAGUCAUAUGGUAAUUAUGUAGAGUAUUUUUUUUUUGAGACGAUUUGUUUAUGAUUUUAAAACAUAAAAAUAUAAGUUGUAGCCAAAUAUAAGGAAGGAUUUUUCCACAAUCUAGACUUUAUUCUUAUUUUAGAGAAAUACUUUUGAAAAAAUUGCUUUAUUGGCAAACAAUUCCUAUGUAAAGGAAUAAAAGACGCAUAUACUCUAGGAAAGAUGUUGCAAAGCUGACAGGCAACUUUGAGAAAGAUGAGGGCAGUUUUCCAGUGUUACUGGAGACUUGACAUUCAAGGAUGUAUUAUGAUAGUUUCUGAAUUGAUAGAUUCUUUAGCGUUUGUCACUACCCUCAGGCCUGCAGUUUUUAUUUGUAGAAUUAACUCAUCUUUACAAUGCUUUGUUGAGUGCUGUUGCAGAAAAUGCUCAUGUAAUUCAAUUAUAUGCAGUUAGGAAAAAGAAGUAUCUUUUUCUAGUACAUGGCCCCUAAAAUGAUGACUUUCCACAAUGCUGAAUGGAGGAAACAGCUCUGUUUCCAUCAAACUCUGGUGGAAAUUAUACAAAGUUAUAUUAUGCUUUAUGAGACAUAGUGAGGUAGUACACAACCAUAUAUGCUAUAUUAUUGGGGAGACCCACUGAAAGAAUUUUCAAGGAUAAUUUUUGCUCUGAUUUUCUAUCAUGUAUAUUGACUUUAUUGAUUGAUUGAUUGAGAUGGAGUCUCACCCCGUCACCCAGGCUGAAGUGCAGUGGUGCAAUCUCUGCUCACUGCAACCUCCGCCUCUCAGGUUCAAGUGAUCCUCGUGCCUCAGCCUCCCGAGUAGCUGAGACUAUAGGUGUGUGCUACGAUGCCCAGCUAAUUUUUGUAUUUUUAGUAGAGACAGGAUUUGGUAGCCUGGUCUCGAACUCCUGACCUCAGGUGAUCUACCCACCUUGGCCUCCCAAAAUACUGGGAUUACAGGUGUGAGCCACCGUGCUGGCCAAGUAUAUUGACUUUAAAACGUUACCGGCUGGGCGUGGUGGUUCACGCCUGUUAUCCCAGCACUUUGGGAGCCCGAGGCGGAUGGAUUACCUGAAGUCAGGAGUUCGAGACCAGCCCAACCUGGUGAAACCCCGUCUCUACUAAAAAUACACAAAUUAGCCGGGCGUGGUGGCAGGCGCCUAUAAUCCCAACUACUGGGAAGGCUGAGGCAGGAGAAUUGCUUGAACCUGGCAGGCGGAGGCUGCAGUGAGCCAAGACUGCGCCACUGCACUCCAGCCUGGGCAACAAGAGCAAAACUCAGUCUCAAAAAAAACAGAAAAAAAAAGUUACCACGGGUGAAACAUUGGGCUGGUCACAGUGAUCCUUCUAACAGCAGUCAAUAUUAUAAAUCUAGCUUUUUUUUUUGAGUGAGAUACUAGGCCCAGGGAACCCGAGUCUUUCAAUCCUCAUGAAUAUAGUUUAAUCUUUAGCUCAUUAUGGUCAUGACCAUAGUUAAAUAAAUGACACGAGAUAAUAAAAUAGUCUUUGCCCUUAAAACUGACCUGGGUAAAAGGAUGUACACUUGAAUCUUUGAAUACCAGAAUAGUCAUUCAUUCAUUGAGCCGUGUUGUAGCAUCCCAUCUUCUGGCACUUCCAGCACUGGGAACCCAUCAUAAAGAAGGCACUACAGGCCAGGCGCUGUGGCUCACGCCUGUAAUCCCAGCACUUUGGGAGGCCAAGGCAGGCGGAUCACCUGAGGUCAGGAGUUCGAGACCAGCCUGGCCAACAUGGUGAAACCCCAUCUCUACUAAAAAUACAAAAAGUAACUGGGCAUGGUGGCAGGCGCCUGUAAUCCCAGCUACUUGGGAGGGUAAGGCCAGAGCAUCGCUUGAACCCGGAAGGCAGAGGUUGCAGUGAGCCAAGAUCCUGCCAUUGCACUCCAGCCUGGGGGAUAAGAGCGAGACUUCGUCUAAAAAAAAUAAAAAUAAAAAGGCACUACAGCACCUGUUCUCUUAGUGUAGCUCUAUUAGCUCUUAGACUAGGGGGUAGGGAUGGGAAAAAGUAAAAAGAAACUGAGAAACCAAUCUAAUUACGCAUAAUCAGAAAUCCAAAGCUUCCAGAAUUCAUGAGGAAAAAGAACUGCAGCUGAUGGAGUAGGCAUUACAGAGAAUGAGAGGCUUGCUUUUUUUUUAAGUUUCAUUUUAUUUGUAAUUGACACAAUAGCACAUAUUUACGGGAUACAGUGUGACAUUUUAAUACAUUUACAUAUUGUGUAAUGAUCAAAUUAGGAUAAUUAGCUUAUGUAUCACUUCAAAAACAUAAUUUCUUUGUGAUGAGAACAUUCAAAAUCUUCUAGUAUUUUGAAAUACAUAAUGCAAUAUUGUUAACCACAAUCACCCUACUGUGCAAUAGAACACCAGAGUUUACUCCUCUUUUCCAUCUGUAGCUUCAGACCCAUUGACCAAUCUCUCCCCUUCGCCCCCCACCACCCCCCCCCCCGCCGUCACCACUCUCCUCCCCUCCCCAGCAAGAGGCUUGAAUCUUGAAGGAGCACAUCAGAUAGAAAGAGGGAAAUCAACUGGGACAUGGUUUGUUGGAAGUGGGGUGGAAUCUGGUUUGUUUACAGUUUCAGAGUUUGAGGCAUCAAAAGUGUAUGUCAUUGCCCAAAAGUAUUUAACAGCUUUCUAUGUUUUAGGAAUUCACUAGAAAUAAGGCAUGCUUUUUAAAAAAGAAAAAAAAUAGUAAUCUUUGAAUUUAAAUAUGUGGGUUUCCAUGAAAAACAAAUGAGUACCCUUCCUUGAAAAACUACUACUUUGAAGAGUCUCGUAGGUUCUGAGGCUCGUGUGUGUGUGUGGGUGUGUGUGUAUAAAACAUUUUCUUUUAUAUUUGGUAAGAAGGAAUAAGGUAUUUUAUACUUUUCUGGUCUGUUAAAUGCAUAAUCUAUAAGACUAUAAUACUUUAAAAAAUUUUAGUUUAUCUGAGGCUUAAAAUAACAAAAGAACUUAAAGCUCCUGUGGAAGAGCUCCAAAAUUAAAACUGUAAGAUCACAUAUAGAUAAAACGUUAUAUAAAGCAGGCUUUGGGACCCCAGGCAUGAUGGCUCAUUCCUGUAAUCCCAGCACUUUGGGAGGCCAAGGUGGGUGGAUCACCUGAACCCAAAAGUUCGAGACCAGCCUGAGCAACAUGGUGAAACCCUGUCUCUACAAAAUACAGAAAAAAAAAAUAUUAACCAAUUUUUUUAACCUCCCAGCUACUUGGGAGGCUGAGAUGGGAGGAUGGCUUGAGCCUGGGGAGGUCGCGGCUGCAAUGAGUCAUGAUCGCGCCACUGCACUCCAGCCUGGGUAAUAGAUUGAAACUCUGUCUCCACACACACACACACAAAUGACUUUUGGUAAGACUGUACAUAGAGUUUAUGGCCUUAUUAAGAAACUCUUUUGAGCAACCUAAGAAAACACAAGUAUUUCUGUACAUUACUUUGUUAAAGUGUACAGGAUAAUAAGAGAGAGCUAAGAGCCUUUUCUAAAUGUGCAUCCAAUUUUAAGAGGCUAAAAUAGGAAGCUUUCAUAUAGCCAAGGCCCCAUUAACUUGGGAAUCUGGAAAACAGAAGACGUAAGUUUCUAUCAGAGUUUCUUUAAAUUUAUGUAAAUCAUAAAUUUGAGCAAGGCAGUUAUAAAAGACAUUAAAAUUAAGAUACUCAGGAUUUUAUAUGUAAUAAUAUUGAUUCCAAUAUCUUCAACACUAUGGCAUUGCCAAUGAGGAGACCAAAAUGAAUUGUAUUUUAUGAAAGGGCUAUAUUAGACCAGUGACUUAAAAGUUCCAAGUACAUAUAAUGACAAAGCGUUGUGGAAUCAUCUUGUACUACUGUUUAUGUAGUAGUUUAAAAAAAAAAAGAAAAAGAAAAUGGUGCAAUUUUAGACAGUUUAAAAAAAUUUUACAAAUACUGCAAAUCAUAGGUUGGUUACCACUAGACUUCCUGACUGCAGUGGUUGCUGUAUUCACUGUACAUUCUUUUAAAACACCAGGCACUUUAUAAUUUUGUCUAUAAUUGUUUAUAUAUUUUUUCUUCACAACAUGUUUUAGAAUAACUUAUUGCUAAGUUACUUCAACGUAUGUGCCAUCUUUAAACUUUAUAUAUGAGUAUACUAAAGUGUCAUUUGCAAGACACAUCUAUGCACUAUUUUUUUUUUCAGGAGCCUCUUUAUUCAAAAUACUUUUAAAUGCAGUGCAUAAAAAUAGCAGGCCACUUCCACUUGCAGGCUUUUGAAGCUGGAGAAGACUUGUUUUUCACAUGAGGAAACUGAGUCCCAGCAAGGUGAAAUGACUUGCUAGUAAGUGAUACGAUUAAACUUAUUUUUUGACUCCAAAGCACAUUCUGCCAACUUGAAGAUGCUUGUCCCAACUUCUGGAAAUUCACCCUAUCAACGUCUGUAUCACAACCCCAUUCUUAAUAAUAGUUUCUUCACAUUAGAAAUAAAUGUCAGAAAUAAAUGUCUACUUGUCAUUUGUACAUGUCAUGCAAACAUCUUGGCACCAGAUAUGGGUACAAGUAGAAAGCAUCAGCGUGUUCAUCUAAGAACUGGAUUUUAUCCAAUGGAAUGUUCUGUUUAUUCAUUGCUAUUCAUGCAUACCUGCUGUGUUUUAACGUUGUGAUAAAUCCAGAGAAUCAAAUAUGAAUAAAAAUACUCCCUGAAUUCAACAAAGUAGGCAUUGGCUCUGGCCAGGGGACAAAAUGUUAAAUGGCAUGCAGUCUUCACCCUGGCACAACUUGAAGCUUAUCACCUAUUGUAGAGAUGAAGCCAUAAACAGAUCAUUUCAGCACAGCAUGAUAAGGGGGAGCUCCAGGGAUCAUGGUAGUACAUGGGCCCAGUCCCUAAUUAAAUCUGGUGGAGUGUGGGCAAAGUUAAGGAAGGCUUCCUAGAGGAGAGGGCAUUGGGGUUGAUCCCUGGCAGGAACAGGGCUCCAGGCAAGGGGAACAAAGACCAGUGACAAUGGAGAACCUUGGAGUAGUCCGGUAUAGAGGAUCAUGAGGGAUGUAUGCAGAGAUGGGAGAGAGAAGAGAGCAGGCACAGGCAGAGGCAAGGCUGUGAAGGGCUUUUAUAUGCCUGGCCAACAAACUUGCAUUUCAUCUUGCAAACAGGGGGGGCCCUUAAGGUUUUAAGCAUUUACCUGACCAGGUCUGCAUUUUAAAUAUAUCACUUUGGUGGUAGCAUGGGGAAUGCAUUAGAGGCCAGCAAGAUUGGAUAUUGAGAGAUCAGUUAGGUUUCUGCAAGUGGUUGUUGGCCUGAGCUAAGAGUGGCCAGGGGAAGGAGAGAGAUCUGAAUUGAUGGAAGAUGCUCAGAUGCUAGAAAUAAAUGGACUUGAUGACUGAUUCCAUGUGAUGGCAGAGGAAAAGCAUGUCAAUGGCAUCCAGAGUGCUUAAACAAUUAAGUUGUGGUGGGAUGGGGAUGUUUUGAGUUGGAACCCGGUAAAAUUAGGUCUAGAGGGAAAAAGAUCCAUGUUCAGUGUGGGCCCAGCAGUUGGUUUUGAGGCACGACUGAAAUACCUAAGUGUUUAAAAUUCUUUCAUAUUGUUUCAUCUUUUUUCCUCUUAAAGAGCACAUUUCUUGAGAAACGCUCUCAAGAAAUGUGUCUCCUUUCAUUAUUUUUAUUUUUUGUUUUGUUUUUGUGUAGUACAGCUAUCAUGGUCCUGUGUAAAGCCAGCUGUGAGACAGACUGUUCAAUAUUUUGGGCAAUGUUUUGAAAAAGAUGGGAUUUGGGAGUAUAUGAAAGAAGGAAAGAGAAAGAAUGUUCCUAGCUCUAGUUGUCCCAUAAGCAUUUCAAUGAAUUAAGUGUAGUAAAUUUCUGUUGUGCAUAGCAAUUAGUAGAUGGAGAGGAGUGAAACAUUUCAGAGACAAAAAGCAUUUAAGAAUAUUUUUGUUUUUAGAAAUUUGAUGAGUUUGGUUACAACAUAUGCUUAAAUGAUUAGUAUCUUCAGGUUUUCAUGUAAUGUUACCUGCAUCUUAUUACUUCAAACAGACAUUCUACAAAUACAGUCAUGCACUGCUUCACGAUGGGGAUAAUUCUGAGAAAUGCUUUGUUAGGUGAUUUCAUUGUUGCAUGAACAUCAUAGAGUGCACUUACACACACCUAGAUGGCAUAGCCUACUACACACCUCGAAUUUGUGGUGUAACCUAUCACUCCUAGCCGACACAGCUGUACAGUGUGUUACUGUACUGAAUACUGUAGGCAGUUGUAAUACAAUGGUAUUUGUGUCUCUAAACAUGUCUAAAUAUAGAAAAGGUACAGUAAAAAUACGGUAUUAUAAUCUUAUGGGAUCACAUAUGCAGUUCAUUAUUGACCAAAAUGUUGCUAUGUGGCACAUGACUAUACUCACUCAGCACCUACUAAGUACUGGGUACUGGGGCAGCGUUGGCCGUAAGUGGAGACCACAGUAGCCAUAGUCCUUCCUUCACAGAGUUUAUAACCCGGCUGUGGAUUAUAAACCCUGAUAUGAUCUUCCUGUCUGCAUCUGCUUAAUAUAAUUAACAUACAUCAUGAGGACAACUUACAACUCGUAAAUCCUGCAAGAGUGAACAUGUAUACCUCCAGAAGGCACUGCCAUAUUCAGAGGUGGAAAAAGAAAGGAAGGAAGGAUUCAGUACUGCCUUGAUUUUUUGCCAGUUGUGUUGGGGCUGGUGGAAUUGUUCCUUAGAGCAGAAACAGGACCAGAUAUGGACUGUAGCUCCUGUUUAUUCCCGAGUGGCUAAGAAAUAAGGGGUUAUCACUUAUUUGCUCAAAAAGAUGAGGACCAAAAAAAUAGAGAUUGAAUAGACAAGUUUUAGAAGAAGUUGGAAACUGGUACUUCCUUGACAUUUUCAUUUUGAAAACCUUGAAACCCACUGAGAAGCUGAAGUAAUGCAGACUUAAUUGUAAAACCAAAUGGGAUAAUUUUUUCAGCAAAGCACAAUACAUUAUUUCUGUAAUUUUUUAUUUUUUUCUAAUUUUUUAUUUUAUUUAUUUAUUUUUUGAGAUAGAGUCUCGCUCUUGUUGCCCAGGUUGGAGUGCAAUGGCGUGAUCUAGGCUCACUGCAACCUCCACCUCCCGGGUUCAAGCACUUCUGCUUCAGCCUCCCAAGUAGCUGGGAUUACAGGCAUGCGCCACCAUGCACCUGGCUAGUUUCGUAUUUUUAGUAGAGAUGGGGUUUCACCAUGUUGGUCAGGCUGGUCUCAAACUCCUGACCUCGUGUGAUCCACCCUCCUUGGCCUCCCAGAGUGAGCCAUGGUGCCUGGCCUAUUUCUGUAUUUUUUCUGUGCCCAGUCUUACCUCUGUUCCUCAUUUUUAAGGGAAUGAUAGCCUUUCUCCUAUCUAGCUAGUCCUUUGCUUUCUCUUUCCCGUUUUCCUCUGGUAUCUUAACUCUUUCUAUAUCUUAAAAUUCUCCCUCUUCACUUAAUUUCUUUUCCUUACUUGCUUCCAUUCUAAAAUAUCCCCUCUAGACCUACUCUCUUUCUGUGCUCCACCGGGAGCAUUUGUGUCCUUAACUGAGCUUUUAGAAAAAAGUCAAUAGAAAGGUGUCUUUCUAUUGGUUUUCCCAUUCUCAUUUCUCAUUCAUCCCCGUGCCAUCAGGUUUUCUUUCUUUUUUUUUUUUUUUUUUUUUUGAGAUGGAGUCUCACUCUGUCGCCCAGGCUGGAAUGCAGUGGCGUGAUCUCAGCUCACUUUAACCUCUGCCUCCCGGGUUCAAGCGAUUCUCCUGCCUCAGCUUCCCGAGUAGCUGGGAUUACAGGCACCUGCCACCACGCCCUGCUAAUUUUGAUAUUUUUAAUAGAGAUGGGGUUUUGCCACAUUAGCCAGGCUCUUCUCGAACUCCUGACCUCAAGUGAUCUGCCUGCCUUGGCCUCCCAGGGUGCUAAGAUUACUGGCAUGAGCCACCACACCCAGCCUGGUUUUCUUAGUUUGCUGAAGGCCUAUUUGCCAACUCUGAUGGUUUUCAGUCCUCAUCCUGCUUGCUCUCUCUGUGCAGGGAACAGUGUCACUCGUUCCUGGGUUCCUCCUUGGCCCCUGCCUGUGUUGCUUUUGCUGGCCACCUCGUUUGGUGUAUCCCUCAAAGGUAGCUCCUCUCUGCAGCUCCACCUCCCACCUCAGUGCUCUCCUUGGCCCAAGCCUGGGUAUGGAGAGCUCAGCUGUCUACCAGGACAGCUCCUGAUUGCCCCUCCUCUGGCUCCUCUGCCCUGAGCCUGUCUCUCUCUAUACCCUCCUCCUCAUCAUGUUUUGGGUCAUGGCAUCACUCUUGCCCCAGUUACCCAAUCAGUACAUGUUCCUCUUCAUCAGGUUGGGUCAAUUCUGCCUUCUAGCCCCCUCAAAGCUCACACCUGGGUCUGUUCCACCAUCAGCGAUACUUGAACAAAGGGCUGGGGACCCAGGGUUGAGGAAUCAACGUCUCCAUACCUAGAAAGGCCACAGUCCACAGUGCAACUCCAAGUGUGCUCCAUAGACUGACAGCCCACAUAUAUUUUUUAAAAAAUAGGCUUAAUUUUUAGAGCAGUUUUUGGUUCAUAGUAAAAUUGAGCAGAAGGUACAAAAGUUUCCCACAUACCUGCUACCCCCACACAUACACAGCUUCUCUCAUCGACAUCCCACACCAGAAUGGUGCGUUUGUUACAAUUGCUGAACCUACAUUAACACAUCAUUAUCACCCAAAGUCCAUAGUUUACAUUAGGGUUCACAGUUCAUGUUGUACAUUCUAUGGGUUUGGACAAAGCUAUAAUGACAUGUUUCUACCACUAUAGUAUCAUACAGAGUCAGUUCACCACCCUAAAAAUCUUCUGGGUUCUGCCUGUUCAUCCCUCCCUCUUCCUAACACCUGGCAACAGCUGAUCUUUUCAGUAUAUCCAUAGUUUUGCCUUUCUAAGAAUUGCAUAUAAUUGGAAUCAUGUAGUAUGUAGCCUUUUAACACUGGCUUCUUUCACUUAGUCAUAUGUAUUUGUUACCUCCAUAUCAUUUCAUGACUUCAUAACUCAUUUUUUUUAGCACUGAAUAAUAUUCCAUCAUCUGGAUAUACCACAGUUUUUUUUACCCAUUCACCUACUAAAGAACAUGGUUGCCUCCAUGUUCUGGCAAUUAUGAAUGAAGCUAUUGUAAACCUGUGUGCAGGUUCUUGGGUCGACAUAAAUUUUCACCUCCUUUGGGUAAAUACCGAAGAAUGUGAUAAUGUGAUUGCUAGAUCAAACAUUAAAAUUAUGCUUAGGUUUGUUAGAAGCUGCCAAACUUUCAUAGUGACUGGACCAUUUUGCAUUUCCACCAGCAAUGAAUGAGAGUUACUGUUUCUUCACAUCCAUGUCAGCGUUUGGUGUUGUCAGUGUUCUGGCUUUUGGCUAUUUUAAUAGGUGUGUAGUGGCCUCUCAUUUGCAUUUCCCUAAGGACAUAUAAUGGGGAGCAUUAUAUGCCUAUUUGCCAUUUGUAUUUCUUCUUUUUGAAAAAUUAAUUUUGAUAAGAAAUACUUAACAUAAGAUCUAACCUCUUAACAAAUGUUAAAGUGUACAAUGUACACAGUUAACACUCUGUUGUUAACUAUAGAGACAAUGCUGUACAUUGGAUCUCCAGAUCCACAUCUUGCAUAAUUGAGACUUUAUGUGUGAUGAUUGAGCAGCUUCCCAUUCCCCCAUCCCGAUUCCCUGGCAAGCAUAAUUCUGCUCUCUGAUUUGAUGAGUUUACUAUUCUGGGUACCUCAUAUAAGUGGAGUCAUGUAGUAUUUGUCUUUCCAUGACUGGCUUAUUUCACUUAGCAUAAUGACCUCAAGGUUCAUCCAUGUUGUAGCACGUGUCGGAAUGUCCUUCUUUUUUCAGGCUAAAUAAUAUCCCACUGUAUGUAUAUGCCACCAUUUAAAUAAUCCAUUCAUCUGCCAAAGAACAUCAGGUUGUUGUCGCCACUUCUUGACUACUGUGAGUAGUGCUGCAGUGAGCAUUGGAGUGCUAAUAUCUGUUUGAGAUCCUGAUUUCAAUGGUUUUAGAUUGGAUUGCUGCAUCAUACAGUAUUUUUAUUUUUAAUUUUCUGAGAAAUUUUUAUACUGUUUUCCAUAGUGGCUGCAUCAUUUUGUAUUCUCAUCAAUAGUACAAGGUUUCCCAUUUCUCCACAUCCUUACCAACAUGCUUUUUUAUUUUUUUUUUGAUAAUAGCCAUUAUCUAAACAGGUGUGAGGUAGUAUCUCAUGGUUUUGACUUGCACUUCUCUGAUGAUUAGUGUGAUGUUGAGUAUUUUUCAUAUACAUGUUGGCCAUUUUUGUCUUCUUUGAAGAAAUGUCUAUUCGAGUCCAGGCCCAUUUUUACGUUGGAUUAUUAGUGUUUUUGCUAUUGAGUUGCAGGAGUUUAUUUAAUUUCUGAAAUUAGAUAUUACCACAUAGGCUGGGCGUGGUGGCUCACACCUGUAAUCCCAGCAAUUUGGGAGGCUGAGGUGGGAGGAUCACUUGAGGUCAGGAGUUCAAGACCAGCCUGGCCAAAAUGGUGAAACCCCAUCUCUACUAAAAAUACAAAAAAAUUAGCUGGGCAUGGUGCUGCACGGCUGUGGUCCCAGCUACUGAAGAGGCUGAGGCAGAAGAAUCGCUUGAACCUGGGAGGUGGAGGUUGCAGUGAGCCGAGUUCAUGCCACUGCACUCCAGCCUAGGCAACAGAGCAAGACUCCGUUUCACAAAAAAAAAAAAAAAAAAAAAAAAAAUGACCAUAUAUGUGUGGGAUGAUUUUCCAUCCAUAUUAUAUCUUCUUUGGUGAGAUGUCUGUUAAGGCAUUUGGCACACCCCCACUUUUUUUUUGAGAGAGGGUCUCACUCUGUCACCAAAGCUGGAAUGCAGUGGUGUGAUCACUGCUUACUGCAGCCUCUACUUUCCAGACUCAAGCAAUCCUCUGCCUCAGCCUCCUGAGUAGCUGGGACCACGGGUGCGUGCCAUCACACCUGGAUAAUUUAAUUUCUGAAAUUAAAUAAUAAAUCUUUAAUUUCUGAAAUUAACUUCUUAUCUGACAUAUGGUUUGCAAAUAUUCCCUCCCAUUCCUUAGGUUGCUUUUUCACUCUGUUGAUUGUUUCCUUUGCUGUGGAAAAGCUUCUUAGUUUGAUGGACUCCCACUUGUCUAUUUUUGUUUUUGCUGCCUGUGCUUUUGGUGUUAUAUCCAUGAAGUCAUUGCCAAGACCAAUGUCUUGAUACUUUUCUACUAUGUUUUCUUCUAGCAGUUUUACAUUUUCAGGUCUUACAUUUAAGUCUUUAAUCAAUUUCAAUUAAUUUUUGUUUAUGGUAUAAGGGUCCAGUUUCAUUCUAUUGCAUGUGGAUAUCCAGUUUUCCCAAUACCAUUUGUUGAAGAGACUGCCUUUUCCCUAUUGCGUAUACUUGGCGCCCUUGUCGAAGAUCAGUCGACCAUAUAUUUGUGGGAUGAUUUUCCAUCUGUAUGUCUUCUUUGGUGAGAUGUCUGUUAAGGCAUUUAGCCUCCCCCCCAACAUCUUUUUUUUUUUUUUUUUUUUUUGAGACAGGGUCUGACUGUCAGCAAAGCUAAAAGUGCAGUGGUACAAUCACUGCUUACUGCAGCCUCUACCUCCCGGGCUCAAGCAACCCGUUUCCUCAGCCUCCAGAGUAGCUAGAACCACAGGCACACACCACCAUGCCUGGUUAAAUUUUUUAAAUUUGUUUGUAGAGAUGGGAUUUCCCCAUGUUCCCAGACCGAUCUCGAACACCUGGCUUCAAGUAAUCCUCCUGCCUCAGCCUCCCAAUCUGCUGGGAUUACAAGCAUGGGCCACCAUACACAACUUGGCCCAUUUUUAAAAUCAGGUUGCUUGUUUUCCUAUUUUUAAGUUUAAGAGUUCUUUGUGUAUUUUGUAUAACAGUCCUUUAUCAGAUAUAUCUUUUCCAAAUAUUUUUUCUCAGUCCCUGG